rnacentral:rRNA from 1 species
CUUUACUGCAACUUGACGUUGGAACUUGGCUGUAUUUGUGUAGGAUAGGUGGGAGACUUUGAAGCAGGGCCGCCAGGUCUUGCGGAGUCGUCGUUGAAAUACCACCCUGGUGCUGACAAGUUUCUAACCGUGUCCGUAAGCCGGACAUGAGACAGCGUCUGGUGGGCAGUUUGACUGGGGCGGUCGCCUCCUAAAGGUAACGGAGGCAUUCAAAGGUCCCCUCAGCGUGGUCGGUAAUCACGCGCAGAGUGCAAACGCAUAAGGGGGCUUAACUGCGAGACCGACAGGUCGAGCAGGUACGAAAGUAAGAGUUAGUGAUCCCGCGGUUUAGCGUGGAAUUGCCGUUGCUCAAUGGAUAAAAGGUA